GACGAACGCUGGCGGCGUGCUUAACACAUGCAAGUCGAACGGAAAGGCCCCUUUGGGGGUACUCGAGUGGCGAACGGGUGAGUAACACGUGAGUAACCUGCCCUUGACUUCGGGAUAACUUCAGGAAACUGGGGCUAAUACCGGAUAGGAAUCCUUGCUGCAUGGGGGGGGUUGGAAAGAUUCGUCGGUUUUGGAUGGAUUCGCGGCUUAUCAGCUGGUUGGUGGGGUGGUGGCUUACCAGGGCUUUGACGGGUAGCCGGCCUGUGAGGGCGAGCGGCCACCUUGGGACUGAGAUACGGCCCAGGCUCCUACGGGUGGAAGCAGGGGGGAAUCUUGCACAAUGGGCGGCAGCCUGAUGCAGCAACGCCGCGUGCUGUAUGACGGCUUUCGUGUUGUAAACCGCUUUCAGCAGGGGCGAAGCUUGUGGUGACGGUACCUGCAGAAGAAGCACCGGCUAACUACGUG
rnacentral:rRNA from 1 species